rnacentral:rRNA from 1 species
AGAGUGAACGCUGGCGGCAGGCCUAACACAUGCAAGUCGAACGGCAGCACAGGGGAGCUUGCUCCCUGGGUGGCGAGUGGCGGACGGGUGAGGAAUACAUCGGAAUCUACCCAGUCGUGGGGGGAUAACCUCGGGAAACCGGGACUAAUACCGCAUACGACCCACGGGUGAAAGCGGAGGACCGCAAGGCUUCGCGCGAUUGGAUGAGCCGAUGUCGGAUUAGCUUGUUGGCGGGGUAAUGGCCCACCAAGGCGACGAUCCGUAGCUGGUCUGAGAGGAUGAUCAGCCACACUGGAACUGAGACACGGUCCAGACUCCUACGGGAGCAGCAGUGGGGAAUAGUUGGACAAGUGGGCGCAAGCCUGAUCCAGCCAUCGCCGCGUGGAGUGGAAGAACGGACCCGUCGGGUUAGUAAAGUCGUUACGUUUUAGGUUAGGG